rnacentral:lncRNA from 1 species
AAAAUUGUUCUGAAUGUUUUCAACCUAGGGGUGCUAUACCAAAGUAGUAGAGCUAUAUCUAAGGAAUAACUUUGGUAAUGUGAGCUUGGUCUUUUGUUGUGUAAAAGUUGGAGAAAAGGUUGGCUAAAGUUGGACUGUUAGGCUGGACACAACUGAAUUUUUUUAUUCAGUUCUGUGAACUGAAUUACAGCAGUAUGCCUAGUUUAGAAUUCAUUUGUGACUGAUUCAUGGGGUUUUAGAUUAAAGGUUCCAUAGAAAAGUUGUAGACCAUAGUAAAGUGAACAAGUUUGCUAAAGUGAGAUGGACCUGGUUCCACAUAAAUUUGGGAGUAAAAGUGGCCAAAAGAUGGACUGUCAGGUGUUGGGAUUCAGACUUAGAAUAAUAUUUAAGUCUGAAUAUGUGUGUUUUUACCCAACUUUGGGGCCUUGUGGUAAUAAAUCCAAAGGGAUUUGGGUUAAGAGUCUGUAGCAAAAUGAGAGACCAGAUAUAGAUGAACAAGUUUUGUGCAAAGAGUGGGCUUGGUACUGUAUGGAAUUUAGAGAAUAGCCUGCUGCAAAACCCUCUAUCUGACUCAGUAUUGUGCUGUUUCAGAAAUUAGAAACUGAAUUUUCAGUGUUUUGCUUUACUUUGGAUUGCCAUAACUCUUGCUCUAAAUAUUUUCAACCUGUGAUUUCUAUACCAAGUUGGUAGAGCUAUGUCUAGAGAAUAACUUUGAGUAAAUGAGUUGGGUUUGUAGUUGAGGGAAUUUGUGAGUUACAAAGCACUGAACAGAGGGAGAGGAAUGGAGCACUAGAAGAUGAAUUCAGAGAAACGAAAACAGGUUCAGUGAAUUGUAGCUGAUUCUUGGACACUAUAACUUGUAGUACAUGCAGUGUGGAUCCUUGCUUAAUGCAUAAAUGAAGUACUUGGUUGGUUAUGGAGGCAAGCUUUUCUAGUUUGGUUGGUAAAUUGAGCUGUGAUAUUAGAGUAUUUAGCUCUCUUAAGGUUUUGUUAGCUUUUGUGUACACCUUUAGAGAGGUGUAAGUCUUGCGAUGCUUCUUAGUAUUUUCUUUUCAAGUUGCAUAAGCAUAAACAUCCAUGAUCAUGUUAUUUCAUAUAGAACUCCUACUAGAAGGAGUGAAUAUUCAAGCUGAAGUGGUGACUGAAGAGGAAUCUACUCCAGUGGCUGCUGAUCAAGUGGAGGAGCCAUCUAACUGAGGUUUAAUAGAGGGAUAGAGUACCUCUUCACUGCAAUAAGGCAAGCCCCGGUGCAUUUACCCCUUUUCUUGUAUUUUUAAAAGACUUUUAUACACUUUAAGUCUAGUGAAAUGUGCAUUAAGUUAUAGGAGUUGCUUGAAAACUAUUUGAUGCAUUGACUACCUUGAUAUCCAUUCCUGUUAUAGAUACUUCUUUGGAAGUAUCAAAUAUUGUUUACAAAAAUGCUUAGCCAUGCUUAGAUCUUGUGGAUAGAAGUUGUCUUUUGCAAUAAUGCCUAGCUCAGGGGUUGUCCUGAGGAAGGAUCGCUUCUACCUGCAAGAAUAUUUUCAUUGGGAGCAUGGUGGGAUCUUACUGCAAAGUUCCCUGUAAUGCUCUUCUCAUCCUAAGGAACACAAAACAAUCCUAAGGAUGGAAGUACUUAAAUCGAGACUUGGGCUAGGAACAGGUGAUGCUCCACCCAGGUCAAUUAAGGAUUGGAUGCGUAUGUAGGCCUGUAUGAUCAAGGACUAUCUUAACUGGCCACAUGCCUUGGAUAUGGGACAGGGUAAGCUUGAACCCGGCUAUUCCAUACGUGAAAAGACAACCGCGCACUGGGCGUGGGAGAUGGUGGGAGUAGCGUGUACCCUCCUGGCUGGAGGCUGGAUGGAGGAGUACUGUGCUCCCGGGUAGCGCGGACCGGUUCACGUUGUGGAGGAUCUGUGGGAAUGGUUGACAUAUGCAAGGGUUAAGUGCUACAUAUGUCGUGUGGUUAGAGAUCCUCAGCUGAGCAAAUCGAUUCGGAUCGCCGUUAUAUCCCCGGAGAGUGGAGACUUGAUCGCUGCCCUGCAACCUAAGUCAGGAUGUGAACAUUAUGAAUAAAAAUGAUGUUGUAUUGAUGAGAUGGUGAAAUUAGACUAGAUGCAACCAGAGUCUAUUAAUAUUUAAUCUGGCGUUAAAAUGUUGAAAGUAAGGACUCACUUUAGUAAGCUAUUUCUGCAAAAGUAUCUAAGUUGAUUCUUGCUAAAGCCUUUUCCUUGAUUCCUAUUUAACCAGCAUAUCAUUGAGAGUCAUUUUUCCUUAGUCGGGUAAGACUUGCGAAAGUACACUCCGUACUCAGGGUUUUCGAACCCAUGUUGUUGUAGGUGAUGAGGAGUACUCUAGGUGUUCCUGAGGCUGGAGGGCGUUUCCAGUUCUGGAGGAAGAUUAGUUAGGCUUAUGUAUAAGCUUUGGAGGGUUUCUACCUUCCUGCUUUUGUAAUAAGGUAUGCACUUUGAGUAUAUCAGGACUUGUAAUAAAUAUUACUCUUUCGAAACAUGUAAAACUUGAGUUUUGAAAAGGUAAAGAAUGUUUAUAAAGUCUUCCGCUCUUAUCUCCGAAGUAUGUAUGUAUCGAAUGUGAUUACUGUAAUAUGCAUGUAUGGUGGGAGAUCCUUGGGAUGAUGAAUUUAAGUUGUUGAACUCGUGAUAGCCUUGUUAAGUUACCUGGUACACGUGCAUAGCCAUCUGAGGCCAUCAAGGCAAGGAUUUGUGCAUGUGGGCCCGAUAACUUGGGAGGGCUGCCACAGAUUGGUAUCGGAGCGAUCCCCCAUUAGCAUGGAUAUUAAAGUAAUCCUUUGAUAUACUUCAAAAGGAUUUUGAGUCCAAACUAUUUUAGAAAAAUUUAAGAAUAUGAUCAAAUCCUGAUAGUCGAAGUGCAAAUAGCAUAUAGUUAAGUUAAGAACUAUAAGGUGGAUUAGUUUAGGAUGCUAACCACUAACCCACAACUGUAAUGGAAUUUUCUGCAGGUACACUAACUAAACUCUAGGAAAUUACGACUAGUUAACUCCGGAGUGAGUAGGUAUGCCACCGCCAUAGAACGUGAUAGCCACUAUAUAUUGGCAAGAGUUGCAAGGACGAAUAGGACGAGCAUGCAUCAUGACAUACAAUUUUAAGUUAAACCCUCUAUGUAGUAGCUUAGUACAAGUUUCAUCCAUCCUACUCAUGCUAUCUAUCUUUGCUUUUCUAUACUACCUUUUCCUAUUCGUGAAGCCUUGAGACUCAGUUCAUUUGGUGGACCUGUAGUUUAUAAGGUACAGUUGCCAAAGAAUUUUUCAACAGUGCACAACAUGUUCUACGUGUCCCAGUUAAAGAAAUGUCUUCGAGUCCCCGAGCAUGUUAUUGAGAUUUCAGAUGUUAACCUUGGACCAGAUUUAACCUACUUGGAAUAUCCCAUAAAGGUGUUGGAUCUAAAGGAUCGGGUCACUCGAAGAAAAGCUAUCAAGUUUUACUAGAUAAAGUGGAACCAACACCCGGAAGAUAAACCAUAUGGGAAUUGGAGGAGUAUUUAGAAAAACAUUUUCAUGAGUUCUUAGUUUCUUCUAAGCCCUAGGUUUUAUGUAGUUGUUUUUUAUGUGAACCAACAAGGGUACACCCCCUGUCUUGUAGGAGUAAUGGGGAAAGAAACUGGUGACGUGUUUCCUUUUCCAUUACCUAACCUAGAGUUUUAAAUCUCGGGACGAGAUUUCUUUUUAGAGGAGAAGGCUGUAACACCCCUGGUGUUACGAUAACUAAAAUGCUGACAUGUCAUCAUAAGAACUUGCAUUAUCUUGUUUGAUAUACCUAGAAUGCAUUCACUAGGUUAAACUUUUUCAAAAGUGUGAUGUUGUGUGUGGGUUUAGAGUUUAGUUUAAUGACUUGGCUUAAGCUAGACAAGAGUAGGUCAUCUCUUGAGCAAGUAGCAAAUUGGAGUCUUCGAGUGCUAAAGGCAAGACUUAGAAUCGAGAGAAACUAUGAUUUCGGAGGUAUGUUAAGUGGAAGAAUUAAUUGAUGAACUGGAUUGACCUUAAAAAAAACUUAAGUGAGAUUUGGAAACCUUGCUUGGAAUUGUGGAUAAACAAAACAACUCCUAAACCAAGGACACUUUGGACAUGAGCUUCAUAUACUAGAGUUGGAUUUGAGAUUAAGGAGUCACUCAUCUUUAGGAGUAUGGAUUGAGUUGGUAAAUCACUAGAUGAGAAGCAGUCACAUUUGAAACCCUAAUUUUUUUCCCAAAAGUGGAAUUCAAAAUCUGGAGAGAAUUGGGCAAAAGUAAAAGUACCAAAGUUGUAGAACUUGGAAAAGUGAAUAACUUUCUUAUUUGGAUAUUCCCAAGUUGUGUGGAAGAUUUUGGAGUUAAGUACAAAAAUUCAGUUUUGGGUUCAUUUUGGAAUUGCUGAAAAUAAUAUAAAUUAUUCAAAUUUGAACCCUUGUAACUUCUGAUCUAAAACCAUUUAGAAGAUGGUCAUUAUAACAAAGUUAUAGGGCCACAUGAGGAGUAUAAGUUCGGUUGAGUCACCUAGCCCUAAAGCUAUUUGGAACAUGGAGAAAAACUGGUUCAAAGUAGAGCUAACAGAGUUUCUGGAUUUCAGACUUAGUAGAGUUCAGAGGCUGAAUUUCAGUAUUUGGAUCCAAAUUUGGGCCUUGAUAUUUUGGAAUCCAGGAGGUUUUGGUUAAUGAACACUAUAUCAACCUUGUAGAUCAAUGAUAGGAGGACAUUUCUUAUUAAGUGAUAUAGCCCCAAAACUAUAUGCUACUGGUAGAAAAGAUAGUCCAAAGAUUGAUUGACAGAUUUCUGAAUUUUCAGACUGAAAACAGUAACUGGAACUGAAUUCAGAGUUUGAUAGCAGUUUUGGGAGCUUGUUUGUGACUAAUCCCUAAGGAUUUAGACUGAGGGGUCCAUAAAGGGAUUGAAUAACACAUGUUGGUGAACAACUUUAUUUAAGUGUAUUUGACAUGAUCCUAUAUAAAAUGUGGAGAAAAACUUCCCCAAAGAUGGAUUAUCAUAUUGCUGUUGACUUAGUUUUUUCAGAGCUGAAAAUCUGAACAUCAGUGAAUGGUACCAAGUUUAGAGCUCUAUUGUGCAAAAUCCUGUUAGUUUUGGACAAAGAACUUUAUAGAAAAAUGGAAGACCAGAUCUAGGAGAACAAACUUAUUUAAGCAAUGCUGGGUUGGUGCUACACAAAUUUGGGAGAGAAGUUAGUUCCAAAAUGGACUGCCAGGUUGCUUUGACUGAAAUUUUGUUCAGUUCACUGAAACUAAAAUUCAGUAAAAGGUACUGAGUUUGGGGCUCAUUUGUGGCUAAUCCAUUUGGUUUUGGGCUAAAUUUUAUAUAUAAAAUUUGAAGAUCACAGUAAGGUGAACAAGUUUAUGCAAAUAAUUGGUCUUGUUACUGUGUGUAAUUUGGAGAUAAUAGUGUUACAAAACUCCCUGUCAGAUUGGGUGCAGAGCUGUUUCAGACCUCUGAAACUGAAUUUUCAGUGUUUUUACUAAAUUUUGGAUCACCACAACCCUUGUUCUAUAUGAUUUCAGCCAUGAGUUUAUAUUCAAAAUAGGUAGAGAUAUCCAUGGAGAAUAACUUUUGUGAAGGGAUAGUGGUCUGUUACUAAAAGAAAUUGGGUGAUCAAUGCAGCUAAACAAUGAAAUGUGCAAGGGGGCAGUGUUGGCUGAUUCAGUAAAUUCAGAGGACUGAAACUGUGUUUUAGUGAUGUGUGGCCAACUUCAGAGCCACAUAACUUGUGAUCUACAUAUUUUGGGUCGUGGAUUUUUAUAGUAAACCUGAAGAGCCAUGGUUGGGGAACAAAUCUGUUCAGGAAUGCUUGAGCUAUCCUUGUUUGGAAUAGAGAGAAAAAGGUGUUCGAACUAUGUCUAUCAGGCAUGGGAAUGCAAACCUGAAUAAGUCACUGUGGAUUUGGUUCAGUAUUUUUCUCCUGACUUUGGAGCUGUUUAGUAUCUGAUCUAAGGAUUAUAAGGCUUAAGUCUGUAUGGAAGAUUGAUAGUGGGUUAGUUGGUCAACAAGGUUCCUUAAGGUCGGUUCCCCUGUUGUUGCUUGGAGCUGGGAAAAAUAAAAAGGUGAAGCUGUGAACUCAGUCAAACAGCAGCAGUUCAGUGUACUCCAAAAAUAUCUGAAGAUCUUUUUAUCCCUGCUGGCUGCACUAGCGUGUAGAAAUGAAGAUAAGGUUGUAGUGAAUAGUUGAAGGUCCUAUAGGUCUCACUCCCCACUAAAAUAUCUAAUUUGGACUGCAUGGGGGGCAGUGGGCAGUAGAAAUCUUAUCUAUUUUGUCUACUACCUACAGAUUUGGACAAAGUGAUAUUUAUGUGUGGGAGCUGAGCCAACGAGGUGUAGUGCUUGUAUGCCACGUUUUUGAACCUUUGGUGUGCUAGCACUCUAGGAAUCCUCCUUCAUCAAGCGUGGAUGAGCUCCACUGCACCUGCCCCUAUAUUUAGUACCUUGGGCUGCCGUAUUGAGUGAAGAUUUCUUCCUUGCCCUCAAAUUCUAGCCAAAGUUCACUACUUGAGUGUGCAGUCUAAGUACUGCUGGUAUAACCCCCUCCGUAGCCCAGGUUUGCCUCCUUCUCCCCAUGGACUGGAUGCGCUCAGUGACCCCUCCCCCUGCCUAUUUAUUCAGUGUGUUCCACGACUGAGUUCAGAAAAGCUUUUCUCCCUUGUUCUCGAGCUGUAGUCCCAGUCCACUACAAAGGUGUUGGAGUCCUGGUAUUCUUGCUGGUGUGCACCCUCUCUUUCAGCCACCAAGUUUGUUUUACUCUAGAGCUGAAUGCCAACCUCUUGCCUGUGGUGACCAAACCCAACCGUUUUUCACCUCCCCGUGGAUAAGGUUUCCCACAAGUAUUCUUGGCCGUCUACUACUUGUUCCAUGCUCGGCAAAGGUCAGUGAAGCUCACCAUUUACUACUUGUACUCUACCACUGUCUGUUGCUGGGAACUAGGUGUAAAGUUCGCUCAAAAAAUAGGCUGUUGGAUUUUUGGAUCGCAGACUUAGUGCAGAAGGCUGAAACUAGGUUCUAGUAUGUUGAGCUCCACUUUGGUGCUUCCUAAAAAAAUUGUUCUAAAUGUUUUCAACCUAGGGGUGCUAUACCAAAGUAGUAGAGCUAUAUCUAAGGAAUAACUUUGGUAAUGUGAGCUUGGUCUUUUGCUGUGUAAAAGUUGGAGAAAAGGUUGGCUAAAGUUGGACUGUUAGGCUGGACACAACUGAAUUUUUUUAUUCAGUUCUGUGAACUGAAUUGCAGCAGUAUGCCUAGUUUGGAAUUCAUUUGUGACUGAUUCAUGGGGUUUUAGAUUAAAGGUUCCAUAGAACAGUUGUAGACCAUAGUAAAGUGAACAAGUUUGCUAAAGUGAGAUGGACCUGGUUCCACAUAAAUUUGGGAGUAAAAGUGGCCAAAAGAUGGACUGUCAGGUGUUGGGAUUCAGACUUAGAAUAAUAUUUAAGUCUGAAUAUGUGUGUUUUUACCCAACUUUGGGGCCUUGUGGUAAUAAAUCCAAAGGGAUUUGGGUUAAGAGUCUGUAGCAAAAUGAGGGACCAGAUAUAGAUGAACAAGUUUUGUGCAAAGAGUGGGCUUGGUACUGUAUGGAAUUUAGAGAAUAGCCUGCUGCAAAACCCUCUAUCCGACUCAGUAUUGUGCUGUUUCAGAAAUUAGAAACUGAAUUUUCAGUGUUUUGCUUUACUUUGGAUUGCCAUAACUCUUGCUCUAAAUAUUUUCAACCUAUGAUUUCUAUACCAAGUUGGUAGAUCUAUGUCUAGAGAAUAACUUUGAGUAAAUGAGUUGGGUUUGUAGUUGAGGGAAUUUGUGAGUUACAAAGCACUGAACAGAGGGAGAGGAAUGGAGCACUAGAAGAUGAAUUCAGAGAAACGAAAACAGGUUCAGUGAAUCGUAGCGGAUUCUUGGACACUAUAACUUGUAGUACAUGCAGUGUGGAUCCUUGCUUAAUGCAUAAAUGAAGUACUUGGUUGGUUAUGGAGGCAAGCUUUUCUAGUUUGGUUGGUAAAUUGAGCUGUGAUAUUAGAGUAUUUAGCUCUCUUAAGGUUUUGUUAGCUUUUGUGUACACCUUUAGAGAGGUGUAAGUCUUGCGAUGCUUCUUAGUAUUUUCUUUUCAAGUUGCAUAAGCAUAAACAUCCAUGAUCAUGUUAUUUCAUAUAG